rnacentral:rRNA from 1 species
AGAGUUUGAUCCUGGCUCAGAUUGAACGCUGGCGGCAUGCYUUACACAUGCAAGUCGAACGGCAGCGCGGGGCAACCUGGCGGCGAGUGGCGAACGGGUGAGUAAUAUAUCGGAACGUACCCAAGAGUGGGGGAUAACGUAGCGAAAGUUACGCUAAUACCGCAUACGAUCUAAGGAUGAAAGCAGGGGAUCUUCGGACCUUGUGCUCCUGGAGCGGCCGAUAUCUGAUUAGCUAGUUGGUGAGGUAAAGGCUCACCAAGGCCACGAUCAGUAGCUGGUCUGAGAGGACGACCAGCCACACUGGAACUGAGACACGGYCCAGACUCCUACGGGAGGCAGCAGUGGGGAAUAUUGCACAAUGGGCGMAAGCCUGAUGCAGCGACGCCGCGUGAGGGAUGACGGCCUUCGGGUUGUAAACCUCUUUCAGYAGGGAAGAAGCGAAAGUGACGGUACCUGCAGAAGAAGCRCCGGCUAACUACGUGCCAGCAGCCGCGGUAAUACGUAGGGYGCRAGCGUURUCCGGAAUUAUUGGGCGUAAAGAGCUYGUAGGCGGUUUGUCGCGUCUGCCGUGAAARUCCGGGGCUCAACYCCGGAYYUGCGGUGGGUACGGGCAGACUAGAGUGWKGUAGGGGAGACUGGAAUUCCUGGUGUAGCGGUGAAAUGCGCAGAUAUCAGGAGGAACACCGAUGGCGAAGGCAGGUCUCUGGGCMWYWACUGACGCUGAGRAGCGAAAGCRUGGGGAGCGAACAGGAUUAGAUACCCUGGUAGUCC